rnacentral:tRNA from 1 species
GCCCCGGUAGCUUAAAGGAUAAAGCUCCUUCCUAACGAAAAGGGCGAUGCCGGUUCGAGUCCGGCCCGGGGCG